ACUCUAUGCUUUACAUAAUCAUCAACACGUUCUUUGUCACCAAAGCACAUUAAUACGAAAAAUGGAAUUAGAAAAUGAAAACUGCCCUUUGCAACCUAAGGCCACUUACCCCCUUCACGAGGGAGUCCAAUGGAAUUGACAAUUCUGAGCUCAGAGACGUUCAAGUUUGAGAAAAACAACGUAAAAACAGACCAGUGCAAAGUUGAGCCUCACGUUAAAGGGGAAUGGCACCGACGCUCACAUUCAGAUGUUCACUGACUUAUCCUUGAAAUAAACCACAUGAAUAUGAACUCGUCGUAUGUUCUGUGAGCUGGAAAAGGGGCGUGGUUUGAACAGAUUUCUCGCUGAGGAUCAGACAACACGUUCCGGUGCCGUACAAAGAGCACCGCCACAAAAGAACCUCAUUUGAAUAGAAAAGUGUAAAUAAACUCCACCAGUCCUGAACGUCUCCCACUGGCAGGGGAGCAGAUAAUACUGCUGAGCUGAUGACGAGGCAUUAUCUGAACGCUAAUCAUACUGUAUGUUUCUAUACUGUAAGUGUUUCGACUUGUGCUGCAUGGGAUAAUAAUGUUUUUGUGCAUCUGCGUCUGCACAGUGGAUGAUAACACAGAUUAGAAUGUUGGUUCUUAGACUUCCUGCUCAUACUCGGCAUCGCUCAUUAGCACUAAUUCUCUAUGGACUGUCUUAGGGCCUAAUAUUAACAUAUGUAAAUUCUAAACUACAGUUGUGUUCCCCUUUAACAGGCUACUCGAAAAAGGAAGGAUGUGUGAGGAUUGGAUAGAUGAUAACUAGAGUGUUUCUCUGGAGCUGUCGUACAGUUUUCUCCUGGUCCAAGGGAAACAAGUGAAUCAAUAAGGCAUCCUCUGGCUCGGCCCAAGCGCUCCAGCCUCACCAGACCUUGUUAAGACCUACAAGUCAGCCAGACUCUGAGCAAACAGUGGACUAUUCUCUAAUGGGAGACAUAUGAGGGAAGGAAGUGGACGAAACGGGAGGCGAGCGAGAGGAGGGGAAUUAGAGCGGAGAAACGGUGGAGUCUGGCUCCCCCCACUGGCCGUAAGUACAAACUAUCAAAAGCAUCACUAUGGCUGAGAAGGUUUUUUUUUUUUUCUGUUUUUUUUUUUUUUUUUGUAAGAGCUUGUUCUGUUUUAAGACCCUUCAAACUGACGUCUGGAGGGUGGCAGGAUGUGAAAGGAACAGUAGCAGCAGUAGCAGGGUUGGGGGGUUGGUGGGGGGAGAGGCUUCGAAACAGCUGUGCAGUCCAAGCCCAGAGAAAAAACAGGAGCAUUUGGAACCCAGAGGCCAGCACUGGCAAAGCUCACUGUAAACAACAACAACAACAACAACGACAUCAACAGGCCUGGUUCUUUCGUAAUGUUUCACAGGUUUAAAUCAUUCACAGACGGUCUGGUCUCUACUACCCCCGGUUUUUUUUUUCUGUUUGUUUCUGAAUCUGUGUUCCAACGUGAUUUGGUUUUAGCCACUUUUGUUGUGCGUCGUCCUCUCUGUUCGGCGACUAAAAGGCAAGUCGCCCUUGAAAUGUCUUCUGCGUUUGCGUUGCUGUUCCAACAGUCCGAGGCCAAAGCAGACCGGAGAAGCCCUUUUUUAGUCGGUCCAUUUCGGAGGCACAACUGCAACUAGAGGUUCAGUCUCGGGGCCACUAAGGCAAACUCUCGCAAAAUGUUCCGAGCCACGUCCACUUUGUUCUGGGCGAUCAUCAGCGCCCGCUUCACAUCCUCAAACGAGUACCCCUCCCCCAUCAGCUUGGCGAUCUUGGCGUCCACGUUCUCCGACUCCAGGCUGUGGGGUUUACCCGGGUGGAUGUCAGGAGGAAUCUUCCUGGGCAGCGGCUUGGGCGGCCUGGCGGGGGCCUGCAAACACUCUGAGGAUACAUGGACAGAAAGAGGAAGAGAAAUCAUGUCAGCAGGAAAACACCACAAACGAACAGACAGAAACUUGAGAGUGUUAUUAGUGGUCAAAGACUUUGCGGCGAGGUUUGAAGAGCUGCUUGUCACUGAACCAAAGCUCUGAUUUUCUCCAAUGCUUCCAUGUUUAAACCUUUAUCAUUAAGUUGUUUUAAAGCUGAAGAGCGGACUGUAAAUGCAUGUUCAGCUCUGACCGACCGCUCUGCAGUGGAUGAGAAGCUAAUUUUGGU